rnacentral:rRNA from 1 species
CUCCACCCGCCGCUAUCGCGCCUAGAGUUCCUUAAAUGACUCGGGGGCGGCUUCCGGGAAACCAAUGUUUUUCGGUUCCGGGGGAAGUAUGGUUGCAAAGCUGAAACUUAGAGGAAUUGACGGAGGGGCCCCACCAGGAGGGGAGCCUGCGGCUUAUUUUGACUCAACACGAGGAAAUUUACCCGGCCUGGACACUGGAAGGAUUGACAGAUUGAGACCUCUUUCUUGAUUCGGGGGGUGGGGGUGCGUGGUCGCUCUUAGUUGGGGGAGCGAUUUGUCUGGUUAAUUCCAAUAAAAAACGAAACUCUACCCUAUUAAAUAGGCUCCCGGCUUUUAAGCCCCGGGAGGACUUCUUAAAGGGACAGGGGGCUUCUCCCCCCCCAGAAAAUAAACACUACCAAGUUUGGUGUUGCCCUUUGUUGUCCGGGGCCCCCCCCCCUCAACAAUGAAAAGAUGAUCUUGCUUUUUGUUCCUGCCCAGAGCGAGCGGGGAAACCCAGCCACCUUCUGCGUGAUUGAGGAUAAAGAUUGUAUCCAUUCUUCUUGAACGACCUCUUGCCAGUAAAUGCGAAUCAUAAGGUUUGUUUUAUUCCUUCCCUGUCCUUUCGCACCACCGUCCGUCUUCCUACUGAUUGAUCGAUGUGGUGACUCAUCGGCCCUGACCGACCCCUCCGUCUGCCGGUGUGCGUUUGAGAUGGACCGAUGCUGAACUUUGAUCGAUUAAAGAUCUCAAAUCGGUACAACGUGUGUCCUAGGGGACCUGAGGAGGAUUAGGGCAAUUCUUCAACCUACAAGACUAGUCAUUUUAUGUGGGUAAUUCUACUUGUGACAGAU